CUCUGUGACGGGAGGUCCCCCUUUGCUGCUCUGACGUCAUGGGGAGAUGCCCCUCUUCUGCUGUGACGUCACAGAGCAGUCCCUCUUUGCUGCCGUGACGUCACGGGUAGAUGUCCCUCUGCCGAUGUGAUGUCACAAGGAGGUCCCCCUUUGCCUCUGAGACGUCAUGGGGAGGUGGCCUGCAGGGAGGUCCCCCUUUGCCGCUGUGACAUCACACAGAGGUCCCCCUCUGCCAGUGUGACGUCAAAAGGAGGUGCCCCGCUGUGCUGCACAUUGCUCUGACAUCACAGGGAUGGUGCCCCUUUUGCCUCUGUGAUGUCUCAAGGAGGUCUCCUUUGCCGCUGUGACGUCAUGGGGAGGUGCCCCACUGUGCCUGUGACAUCAGGGGGAGGCCCCCCUUUGCUGCUGUGACGUCACGGCGAGGUGCCCUGCUGCACUGCUGAGCGCUGUGACGUCACUAGGAGGUGCCCCUUUGCUGCUGUGACGUCACUGGGAGAUGUCCCCACUGCCCGUGUCUGUCUGUCCCAGGACACGUGGCCAUUUCCCCACAGUUCCCAGGUGGUGUCAGAGGAUCCAUCAAAAGGCGCUAUUUUUGUGCAGUCCAAUGGGGAAUAGCCUAAGAUGGAAGGAAUUCCAGGGUUCUGACCAGUGGAAAAUUCUGGUUCUGUGGCAUUGCACCUUUCCAUGAUUCCUGUGUUUGACCUCCUUGCUUCCUAACUGCUGGCAGCACAGCAAAGUGUGUUGGAGGUCUGUGGUGAUGUAGGUUUGUCCUCAAGGGCAAAAGAGAGGAACUUUUCUGGCCUGUUUCACCCAGGCCACCAACAUGUCCCGGCAAUUUCAACAGACUGACCUCGAACUCCCUUUGUGCUGUAAAUGGUUGUUUCCAUCCCCAGGACUGCACACAAGGCAGCUGAGCCUUGUUCGGUUUGAAUUGCUGAUGACAAACCAGGGAGAAGCUUCAGGGUUCUUCCCUGUCCUGAUGGAAAGACACAGCCUGUGAGUGGUUUGCUAAGUGACUUCUCCCAACAAAUCCCACGUGAGGUGAGGUUCACAAAUCUUGCUGUUGUCUUCCUGCCCUGAUGAUGCAGCUCUGGAUGUGCAGCCACUGGACUCGCCCCUCCUGCUUCCCCACUUCAUCAGGCACCGAGUUCCCAGAUCUCUCCUCCAGCUUCAAUAAUAACAACAACAUUACUGGAAAAACAGCAGGCAGGAAGAUGACACGCAGGAACAGUGACAAACAGCUAAACAUCUGACUUGGAGUUAUUAGAGUGUCAUCCCCUGGGCAUGUGACAAACCCCAUGUUAUGGAUCCGUGUGCUAGGGAGGAACUGGAAAUGGGGUUGGCACAACCCACAGGCUAUCAAAACAAUGUAGUUUUUCUUAACCCAGAGCGUCAGACCUGCUCUGAGCACGUACUGUACUGCUGUGUCUGCAGCUCAUGCAGAGGGACAUUCUGACAGGGAUUUCCCAAGCGCUGCCAGUGCCGUAGCCAUAGAAGCAGGAGAUAAAAAUAUUUGCACAGAACCUGGGGGCAGGGUUUGCAGCCUGUGCUGUACCACACAGCGCUCCUGCUCAACAAUGCUGUUCAGCUAAUUGUAGGCCUGGACUCCCCUGGAUAUUUUUUUCAUUAGUACCUCCCGUGGGAUACCUUACUCCAUUUGUGCCUCCACAGGCUGGCUUUAUCCUUUUUUAAGCCUUUGUUGUGGAUUCAGCAUAUCAAAGCCUCUCUUUGUCAGGACACUUCUACUUUGUACUCUGAAUGGGGAUUAAACUACACAUGGCGUACCUGGAAGCACUUGUGAAUCUGUUCUGCCUGAUGUCCAUCCCUGCCUGGCAUCUCUCCCUUACCCCUCAGGACUGGUCUGGUGACUUCAGAGCCAGUCGGGGCACAUUGGUCUUGGAUGAGGGCACAGGAUUAGUCACUGCCACCAAACAAUGUCUAAUUGUGUGUAUGUUUUCCUUUCCUCCAGAAAAGGACUCUGUGUUGUCUGUGCUGCCUCACUGCUCUAUUUUUCUACAGUUUCUUACUUUUCACAAAAAAAGCCACUCGUUCCUCCCAAACUUCUUGUAUAGCCCAGCCUCAGCUCAAGUGGCUUAAACUCAUACAAAUGGUGUCACGAGGAGAUUAAGGAGCAUACCUUGUGGCAUGAUGAAAAGCAGCAAAUGACAGCAAAAUCCUGCCUUUUCACAAAACACAUGUGAUCUUUUUUGACUCUGUCCUCGUUUUUGGAUUACUUCAGAGGAGAGAACUUUGAAUUGUAACAGAUCUGCCAGCAAGAGCGAAGUGUCUCCAGUCACUUGUGCCUGGUCUUUGCUUUCUUACACAACCUUCUAUGUUUAAAUAGAGUAGUCUGCUUCUGCUUUUUGUUUGUUUGUUGUAAUCUGGUGUUUUAUUGGGUCUUAUGGGCUCGCCUGAAGUCAGUUUAGUAGGAAACAACCCCUGAGCAAGUGAAGUUAUAUCUAUCAUUAUUGUCACUUCAAAUACUUCAGAUGUCUUGCCAGUAAAAAACCCCUUCAAGGUACCAGCAUAGCACCUGAAAACCAUGAGUGAGACAAGCAAAGAAGGAUAUGAGCAGAUGGGAAGGGACUGGGGAGUUAGACAUGGAAAUCAGCAGGAUUUCCCCGGGGAGUAAACAAGAGCCUUCCAGGAAAUGUUCUGCAGCUUGGGGGACACGUCACGGCUGAACAGGACUUCAGAGAGCAGCUGAUAAAGAAAGAAGACCAGCAUAUUAGGGACAGUGAGAAUUUGGUACUUCAGUAAGAAGGGCCAUGCAGGUGUUUCAGAAAGAUGUGAUAUCUGUGUCCUGGGCACUCAUAUCAACAUUAACAUGUACAUCAAUAAAUUCAUGGCUGCUUAUCAUUUGA